AUUGAACGCUGGCGGCAUGCUUUACACAUGCAAGUCGAACGGCAGCGCGGGCUUCGCCCUGGCGGCGAGUGGCGAACGGGUGAGUAAUGCAUCGGAACGUGCCCAGUAGUGGGGGAUAGCCCGGCGAAAGCCGGAUUAAUACCGCAUACGACCUGAGGGUGAAAGCGGGGGACCUAAAGGCCUCGCGCUAUUGGAUCGGCCGAUGUCGGAUUAGCUAGUUGGUGGGGUAAAGGCUUACCAAGGCGACGAUCCGUAGCUGGUCUGAGAGGACGACCAGGCACACUGGGACUGAGACACGGCCCAGACUCCUAAGGGAGGCAGCAGUGGGGAAUUUUGGACAAUGGGGGCAACCCUGAUCCAGCCAUGCCGCGUGCGGGAAGAAGGCCUUCGGGUUGUAAACCGCUUUUGUUCGGGAAGAAAUCCUGUGGGCUAAUACCCCGGGGGGAUGACGGUACCGGAAGAAUAAGCACCGGCUAACUACGUG
rnacentral:rRNA from 1 species